rnacentral:lncRNA from 1 species
AAGUAGAAAUGAUCUAGAUAGCUUUCAGUAGUUGAUAUUAAACCUUAAUAGACAUGGGCUAGGGUUGUAGCUCAGUGGUAGGACACUUGUCUAGUGUGUUCAAGGCCCUGGUUUUGAGUCAUAGUAUCAUGCAAAACAUACAGAGAUACUGUCGCACCAUUAUGACUAAAACAAAAGCAAGGGUACCAAACAGGACAUAAGUGAUUAAAAAAUAGAUUAGUGACUAUCUUUUUACAGGUUUAUUCUCUGAGCCAAAUGACGUCAUCUAAAACCAAGGCUUUUUAAAGCUGUUUGUUCUUGGCACUGUUUCGAUGAAUCAUUUUCCAGGUCCUAAUGUGCCUACAUCUGCUUUGAAAAUACUUAUAACUCAGGAGAAACUUCCUUCAGUGCAGUUACAGAUGGUGACAUUUUCUCCUCUACCUCCAAGGUUCAUGUUUUAUCCGCACGGACCAGCUAGAUGGUGAGACUGACUGGAAGCUGAAGGUGGCGGUGAGCUGCACACAACGGCUGCCAGCCCUCGGGGUGAGCUCCACUGUGACACUGUACUUGUUUUUAGCAAUAGCGAUGGGGUGGUAAGGAAGUUUCUGUUGAUCCGAGCUGACUAAUUUGAACACAUUUAAGCUUGCAAUUUGUCAUUUUCUUAUUCCUCAAGGCCAUUAAAAAUGAUGUGGUUUUCUAGUGCACAGCCUAUUUUAGGUAGUUUUGAAUGUUCCUACUGACCUGACACUUAGGCUGUCUAUAUUUUUAUCUGUCUUAAAAUUUCUCAGUUAAGUAGUCUGUCAAGCUGUGAUGGACAGGAGAGUCUGGUGCUGGGAGUUGUUGAUUACGUGGUAGCAGGUUGAAGUGCUCUGGGAGAAUAGAACUCAGGCCAUGACCGAGCCUAGUCCUUGAGCUAAGUCUUUUGCUGCAGCUUUUCCUGCUGAGGACAGGAGACUUUGAUUUGGAGGAAGUGAAUGCUGCUAUGUUUCUUAGGCUGAGGGAAGGGGGAGAGAUAGUUUCAGACCACACUUAACAGUUGCUGAGUGAGUCCCCUAUCACUUACUACCCAGGAAAGCUGCAGGGAGAGAUUAGAAACAACAGGGUCAUAGAAGUUUGCGGAUUCCAUGAUUUCUAAAGCAGAUUUCAUAGAUAUCAAGAAUCGCUUCUGCUAGUACACCUGACUUUCCCUCUCCCUUCUCUUCCCUCCUCCCUUCUUAAAAAAAAUACCCUACAGUUAGAAUAGUUGUUGUUUAUGUGGCGUUAAUAUUUUUGUUUUUAUAUAUAACACCAAUCUGAACACAAGCAGCUUUGUCUUCUUACAUAAUCUGCUGUCCUUCUGUGACCAGGAGAAGGAUUGAGAUUAUCACGAGAAGAAAGGCUUCUGGGGGAAGAGUAUCUGCUUACUGCAGGGCAGUAAGAGUCUUCACAGUAAACCGUGUCUUUGGUGGCAGGCGCUUUUGCCUCUGUGUGUUGAACUAUGGAAGUUAAAUGGCUGAGACUUGGGCAAAUUUUGCUUUUUUGGGUAUUUUAGUAUUGCCUAUAUUUAAGGUAAUUUCUAAAUUAGGAUUCAUUCCUUAUAUAUUUCUUUUGUAUCUUUGCUAGAACCAGUUGGACCCUAGCCAGGUGUUCUUAGUCCUUCCUGUAUGCUAUAUUGUCCUGUAGUCACUGGCUUGGUCUCUUCCUCCAUGAUUUUGCUCCAGCAUUUUAAAACUGGAAAACACAUUUUUACCUCUGGUGCCAGAAAAAUGAGCUGGGGCCCAUGUGAGACACAUGUAGUUUCUGAUCUUGAGUUGGAGUCACCCUGUGCAGUUCACCAGCUAGCUUCUGCUGAUCUGUUGUAGUGACAAAAAGGGAAAUCUUGCAUUUUUAACUUAGUUGUGAAAUGUAGACAUUGAGAGAAGGCAUGUAAAUCACGUGUUCCUCCUUUAAACAAAGUCUUAGCAUUAUGGGGUGAUAUAAUCUUAACGAUUUUAUAUUUAUCAUCUUAAACCUUCAGAGAGUUCUGCCAAACAUAAUCAGACACAUAUAAUCAGUGGAAAUUUUCUUUUAGAAGAUCUACCUAUCAUAAAAUACAGAUGAAAAUACCUCGGCUGGGUAGAGAAUAUAGAUAGUUCAUUGUUUUAACCUUGAUUAUGUCACAAUCAGACUUCUAUCCUUUGUGUACUAGAAAUAUGUAUUUCUUUCUUAGUUAUUUAUCUUCAUCCCCUUUGCCACUUCUCGCUGGUGUGUGUCAUUGAAAGGUAUGUGACGAUUGAGGGGAGGGUACAGCACCCUCUACACGGAUAGAGCAGAUGAACACAAUGUGCUUCCUUUUCUUAAGGAGGUGGGAAUACUACUUCUGCUUUAUCUUUAUGUAGCACACAGUCAUCCUUCAUUCCCGAAAGUUUAUGUUACGUGUUUUAGACAAUAUAUUGUGAUUUUCCCCUUUUCUUAACUCCUUGUAGAUGCUCCCAACCUCUCUACCCUCUCAACUGUAUUUUUCCUCUUCUCUCUUUCUCUCUCAAAAUAAAAACAAAC